rnacentral:rRNA from 1 species
UGGUGAGGUAGAGGCUCACCAAGACGUCGAUNGGUAGCCGGCCUGAGAGGGUGAACGGCCACACUGGAACUGAGACACGGUCCAGACUCCUACGGGAGGCAGCAGUGGGGAAUAUUGCACAAUGGAGGAAACUCUGAUGCAGCGACGCCGCGUGAACGANGAAGGCNUUCGGGUCGUAAAGUUCUGUCCUUGGGGACGAUAAUGACGGUACCCAAGGAGGAAGCCCCGGCUAACUACGUGCCAGCAGCCGCGGUAAUACGUAGGGGGCGAGCGUUGUCCGGAAUUAUUGGGCGUAAAGGGUUCGCAGGCGGUUCCUUAAGUCAGAUGUUAAAUGCAUAGGCUCAACCUAUGAGUGCAUUUGAAACUGGGGAACUUGAGUUAAGGAGAGGAAAGUGGAAUUCCUAGUGUAGCGGUGAAAUGCGUAGAUAUUAGGAGGAAUACCAGUGGCGAAGGCGACUUUCUGGACUUAAACUGACGCUGAGGAACGAAAGCAUGGGGAGCAAACAGGAUUAGAUACCCUGGUAGUCCAUGCCGUAAACGAUGAGUGCUAGGUGUUGGGGGUCAAACCUCGGUGCCGCAGCUAACGCAUUAAGCACUCCGCCUGGGGNAGUACGUACGCAAGUAUGAAACUCAAAGGAAUUGACGGGGGACCCGCACAAGC